rnacentral:misc_RNA from 2 species
CCGAGUUAUUCUACUCCCAAACCCCUGUGAACUUAUACCUUUACUGUUGCUUCGGCGGGUUAACGCCCCGGAAGGCCCGCGAGGGCCGCCGGAACCAGGCGCCCGCCGGGGGACCCAAACUCUUGUAUCUUUUUUAUAGCAUGUCUGAGUGGAAUCAUAAACAAAUGAAUCA